UUGUGAGUUACUGUAUGACAAGAGUAUAAAGAUUGUUUGGGAAGGAGUGGGUUUGAGGGGGUGGAUGUUAGCCAGAUGUGGGUGUGGUGCAAGGAGUGGAUGGGGGUGUGCCAACCAGGUGUGGGUGUGGUGGAAGGAGUGGACGGGGGUGUGUCAACCAGGUGUGGGAGUGGCAGAUUUCUAGUCAAAAGCUGGUGUUGGUCAACUGGUCAGGUUAGUCAGUUGCUUUUGGAGGGAAGGUGCACUGCGAAUUUCUCCUGCUGUUGCUGAAGGGAUUUUAUCAGAGACAACUUCCAGACUACUCUUCCAACACUCUUUAUCCAAGGGAUUUCUGCUGCUGCUGAAGUAAUAUCCCCAGUGACAACUUUAAUCUACAAAGAGUCUAAGUGCAAGAUGCCACGGAAAAAGUCAUUCAGAAUGAGGCGUGCGCCCAAGACUGUGAGUACUGUGGUUGAUGUGCAGUGCUGCUGCGAUUCUAAAUUAGUUGGUGGAUUGGUGUGUGGUACCAAGCAUUUCAGGUUGCUCGACAGAAACAAUGAAAGAACAGAGAUUUGUAGUGUUUUAGGUCUUAUUAGGCAUAAAGUGUCAAAUGUGUGUACUUGGAAGGGUGGUGUGAUGGAUUCAAUUUGUGAUGAAGGAAGGAUACUUUUGGAGGAGAGGAAACCUACAAAGGGUUUGGCUGGUAGAUAUAAUGCUUUCAACAGAGUGGCUGAUGUUUCUCUAGGUAAAGUAAUACAUGGUUCUUGUGAUUACUUGGAGUUUUCUAGUGCUUUACAAGAGACAUUGCUUGAUCAACAGUCCUGUUUGUUAAACUUAGAUGGAUAUCACUGUGCAGUUGUGUAUCACAAUGAAUAUUUCAUUGUUUUGGAUUUUAACGCUUGCAAUUCUUCUGGUUUGCCAUGUGACUUUGGCGUCUGUGUAGCACAAUUUCACACUAGUCUGAAUGAAACCAUGCUGUUUUUCACAACAUUGCUUGAGAAGCUAAAAGCAAAGGUGUUCUCUGUUGCUAGUGUAAUGGUGAGGUUGGCUGAUGAACAGGUUUCAUCAAUGCAUUGUCCAAGUACUGCUAACGGUAUGCAUGAAAGUCCUGUGAAAAUCUCUGAACAAAAAGUCUGUGUUCCAGAAGGUGUUGAACUGAAGGAGUGUUAUGUUAAUUUGAAAAGGAUGGCAAAUGAUAAAGCUGGAAAGUCUACUGUGCAAACCCCCAA